CUGUAUUUAUAUACGCAGCAAGAGAAGGAGAAGAUGAUGGUGAGCGAGAUGAUCGGCAAGGUGACGAGCGAGUGCUGGGACAAGUGCAUCACAGGCGCCCCCGGGAGCAAGCUGAGCUCUGGCGAGACCAGCUGCCUGAGCAACUGCGCGCAGAGGUUCGUCGACAUGAGCGAGAUGAUCGCGAAGCGUUUCGGCGCGCACUAG
rnacentral:rRNA from 1 species